UUAAUUUUGCCGCCUCUUACGUUGAAAACCUUAAAAGUUGGAUACGCUAUGGAGCAUUCCCACCCUUCUCCUCAAUUAUCCCUGAUGAUGAAAACCUUAAUGCUCACGCGUAUUUUCUUUCAUCCACGAUAAACAAUGUCACCAUCGGAAGCUUCAACCGUGAUUCCCAUCAGGGCUUCACUUGGGGUUCCUCCACUUCUCAUGGUGUAUAAUAAUGCAAGAGCCAAGUCAAAUGAUGAGCAUAUUGUUUAUUGAGCUGCAUUGCAGAAUUUGCUCGAAAGAAUGAGAAAUUGUUGGUUGUGGGAUGAGGAGGACUAGAGACGAUCAUGUUUCCGAGGGUGAUUUUCAUCUUACGCUGCCGAUUGUCUCUGAAUUCAUGCCUGAUUAUGAGCCCUCAUUCUUCAAAGGUUGCAUAGAGGAAGAAGUCCUUCAUUCAUGGGAUGUCAAUAGUAAACAUUUUGUAUUAUCUCUGAAUGUAAGGAUUUACAAGUAGAAAAGCAGAUUUAGUGAUUCAAACCAAUAAGUUUAAUGUAAAAGCCCGUGUAUUACACGGGUAACUAACCUAGUGUAUAUAUAUAUAUAUUUAUAUAUAGAAACGGGACCGGGAGAAAACGCUCAAAAGUAUGAGAACGGCGAGAACGCUUCCUGGCCCAACGCGUGUCACGCCGCUUAGAAAAGGGCGGAGAGGCCUUUUUGUCCUUUCAUCUUCUGUUUUUCCAGUUACGCUUUUUC
rnacentral:lncRNA from 1 species